rnacentral:rRNA from 1 species
GACGAACGCUGGCGGCGUGCCUAAUACAUGCAAGUCGAGCGGACAGAAGGGAGCUUGCUCCCGGAUGUUAGCGGCGGACGGGUGAGUAACACGUGGGUAACCUGCCUGUAAGACUGGGAUAACUCCGGGAAACCGGAGCUAAUACCGGAUAGUUCCUUGAACCGCAUGGUUCAAGGAUGAAAGACGGUUUCGGCUGUCACUUACAGAUGGACCCGCGGCGCAUUAGCUAGUUGGUGGGGUAAUGGCUCACCAAGGCGAUGAUGUGUAGCAGACCUGAGAGGGUGAUCGGCCACACUGGGACUGAGACACGGCCCAGACUCCUACGGGAGGCAGCAGUAGGGAAUCUUCCGCAAUGGACGUAAGUCUGACGGAGCAACGCCGCGUGAGUGAUGAAGGUUUUCGGAUCGUAAAGCUCUGUUGUUAGGGAAGAACAAGUGCGAGAGUAACUGCUCGCACCUUGACGGUACCUAACCAGAAAGCCACGGCUAACUACGUGCCAGCCGCCGCUGUAACAC